GUGGGGAAUCUUGCGCAAUGGGCGAAAGCCUGACGCAGCCAUGCCGCGUGAAUGAUGAAGGUCUUAGGAUUGUAAAAUUCUUUCACCGGGGACGAUAAUGACGGUACCCGGAGAAGAAGCCCCGGCUAACUUCGUGCCAGCAGCCGCGGUAAUACGAAGGGGGCUAGCGUUGCUCGGAAUUACUGGGCGUAAAGGGCGCGUAGGCGGACAGCUUAGUCAGAGGUGAAAGCCCAGGGCUCAACCUUGGAAUUGCCUUUGAUACUGGCUGUCUUGAGUUUGGGAGAGGUGAGUGGAACUCCGAGUGUAGAGGUGAAAUUCGUAGAUAUUCGGAAGAACACCAGUGGCGAAGGCGACUCACUGGCCCAAUAUUGACGCUGAGGCGCGAAAGCGUGGGGAGCAAACAGGAUUAGAAACCCGUGUAGUCC
rnacentral:rRNA from 1 species